rnacentral:lncRNA from 1 species
GUUUCCAGUGGGCCGGGAACAAUUGCUAAAUACAAAUCACACAGAGAAAAGGGAGAGAGAGAGAGACAAAAGAAAGAACCCCAGCACAAAGGAGAGGAAUGAAAUGGAUGUCCAUGAGGAGCCCCGUUUCUCCCCACCUGGACCUCGAUGGAGCCGGCAGCAUGGUGAACUGCACCAUCAAGACGGAGGAGAAGAAGGAGGGCUGCUACGAGUCCCCGCCGGGGGCUGCCCCGAGCGCCGAGCCCCGUGCCAACGACUUGCCGGGGCCRCCGCCGAGAGAGGGCACCGACCCCCAGGCCCUGCCGCAGGUGGGUCCGGGCUCCGCGCGCUCCCUUUCUCACUCCUGGAGAGCCAAGGGGGUCAGGUCUGCCGGAGAUGCCCAGUGUGGGCAUCGCACCGCUCCGGAAGUGUUCAACUUGCCGCGGCCAUCCAGGAUGAACUCAAACGCUGUGGCCUUUCUGUAUUGCUGCCCUUGAUGCCAUUUUUGCUUUCRUCCAUGGUAGUGUCAGGUCACCGGCUCCCGGUCCUGUAUGUCUCGGUGUCGGCGCUGC